rfam:Canis familiaris mitochondrion, complete genome.
GUUAAUGUAGCUUAAUUAAUAAAGCAAGGCACUGAAAAUGCCAAGAUGAGUCGCACGACUCCAUAAACA